GCUAAGCUACUAGUUUCUUAGUGUUACUUUGCCAGACCUUACUCCCGUGCCCUGCGGAGGAGGGUUCGGCUAGUCCACACAGCAUUCUGGGAUGGGAGAAAAACUUGCUCUGGUUUAUCGGCAUUGGCAUUUCUUUACACUACC